rnacentral:rRNA from 1 species
GCUAGGAUGAACGCUAGCGACAGGCUUAACACAUGCAAGUCGAGGGGCAGCAUAAAAGUAGCAAUACUUGGUGGCGACCGGCGCACGGGUGAGUAACGCGUAUGCAACCUACCUAUCAGAGGGGAAUAACCCGGCGAAAGUCGGACUAAUACCGCAUAAAACAGGGACACCGCAUGGUGAUAUUUGUUAAAGAAAUUCGCUGAUAGAUGGGCAUGCGUUCCAUUAGGUAGUUGGUGAGGUAACGGCUCACCAAGCCGACGAUGGAUAGGGGAACUGAGAGGUUGGUCCCCCACACUGGUACUGAGACACGGACCAGACUCCUACGGGAGGCAGCAGUGAGGAAUAUUGGUCAAUGGGCGAGAGCCUGAACCAGCCAAGUCGCGUGAAGGAAGAAGGAUCUAUGGUUCGUAAACUUCUUUUGCAGGGGAAUAAAGUGCAGGACGUGUCCUGUUUUGUAUGUACCCUGAGAAUAAGGAUCGGCUAACUCCGUGCCAGCCGCCGC